UAGAAUAGUAUGCAGCAAAUGGACAGAGUGUUUGGAAAGCUAUAAUUAGCAUGUUUAUAACUCUUAAAUUCAUAGUAACUAACACUGAUAAUGUAUUAGUGUGAAACGAAAUAUUUGGGCAUAAAAAAGGAAAAUUCAUAGUAACACUGAUAACCCUACCCUUAGGGGGGUCACUAGAUGGUUGGUAGUCUCACUUUUCCACACAAAAAAAAGAAGGGAAAUAUUUUUCUAGAUGACUGCUGUGAAUCGGAUCUUUUGGCAUAAGUUUUUGGUUUCAAAACCCAAAAGUUUCAAACCGAUAACUUCCUAGGGAGAAACUCUCUUUUUUUGAUUUUGAGGUUAUGCACCACAUCACCAAACAUUUUCAAUUGACUCAA